AUGAUUGCUGUGUGUAUAAUAUGUCAUUGAACCCCAAUCCUCGAUGCCGACCUGAUUAUGACUUUUGGAUCGCAAUUAUCAUGGCUAUCAAAAACUGAGUAGGAGUCAUGGAAUAAGUGAACAAUUUGUGGCCUUUAUAGCUGUCAGCUUUCGCAUCGCCCGGUGUGUUUUGGGAAUCGCUUUGUGCAUUUGGUUGCCUGCCGUGCCUCUUGGCAUACGGUUGGUGCCACUUGCCGGGUGGUUUUCGGAAACAUCCACCGUAAAGGUGCAUGAGUGGUGUUUGGUUUGUUACGGGUGGUUGGCUCUUUGCUUGCGCAACAACUGCCACCCGACUUACCUCUUCAGUUUUUGCCUAGGCUUGUAUAGCCUAAGCAGAUUGUGGGUUUCCUGUGUUGCCUACCUACGUCACGGAAUUGUCCCGAUCGAUCAAAGUUGCUUUCGUCUUGUGUCGUCUUGAUGGCAUAAGAUGAACCAUGAAGCUGUCUCUUUGCACCGCAUCGUUAAUGCAUGCAUUGAUGUUGUGGCCCAUUGAGCAUUGCUUGGUACCUCGGAUACGGAACCUUAUGUGGGCAUCGGUCCUUAGGGAUCCUUGUUCUGCCCUCGUUUAGCGUUCGCGCUUCUCUUAGAAUGACUGCCCAGCCGGAAUGGGAAGCCAUUCUGGAUGGGCAUCGUCAAAGAG
rnacentral:lncRNA from 1 species